CAGUGGUGAAGGACUGUCCUGCAGAUGAUGGACUCUCAGGUCAGAUUACAAUAGAAAUAAAGAGGACUUUGAAAAUGGAAGGGUUUUGGCAUUAACAGUACAGAGAAAAGCAGUCUGGAGAGAGAGAACACCCUACAUCGUUGUGGUAUUGGUUGGCUUCUGCAGCAGUCUUAGACCAAAUCUUGGUUGAAAUGGAGAAGAACAGUUGUUCUUCAUGGUUGAGGAGUU
rnacentral:lncRNA from 1 species